CCCACUUUCAUAACAUGGCCUGACCCUUUUCUGCCGCGGACAAUUGAUCCGAAGGACGCCGGCUGCCCAGCCCUGGCGGGCCACUACUGACCUAGUCCGAAGUUAGGAACAGCCUUGCAAACCGCCCCCUCCCCCUCCAUUUCAUCAAAAUCGGGGAACAAAUUCAGAAAAGAGCGACUCCCCCGCUGCCGAGGAAAAGCCAGUUCAAGAAGCCGGGGGAAGGGUGGGGCCCCGCGUGCCCCGGAGCAGCGCCCCUCGAAGGCGGGGGCAGGAA
rnacentral:lncRNA from 1 species